ACAAGCGGUGGAGGUAUGUGGUUAAUUCGAUGCAACGCGAAGAACCUUACCUGUCUUGACAUCCCGGAGACCCUUAGGAAACUAGGGGGUGCUUCCAUCUGGAAGAAUCUGGAGACAGGUGCUGCAUGGCUGUCGUCAGCUCGUGUCGUGAGAUGUUGGGUUAAGUCCCGCAACGAGCGCAACCCUUGCCUUUAGUUGCCAGCAGUUCGGCUGGGCACUCUAAAGGGACUGCCGGUGUUAAACCGGAGGAAGGUGGGGAUGACGUCAAGUCCUCAUGGCCUUUAUGGCCAGGGCUACACACGUACUACAAUGGCCGAUACAAAGGGCAGCGACACUGCGAGGUGAAGCCAAUCCCGUAAAAUCGGUCUCAGUCCGGAUUGGAGUCUGCAACUCGACUCCAUGAAGUUGGAAUCGCUAGUAAUCGUGGAUCAGCAUGCCACGGUGAAUACGUUCCCGGGCCUU
rnacentral:rRNA from 1 species